CUUGACAUACUCAUAAAACAUGUAGAGCCAACUUGACAUACUCAGAAAGCACCUCCACGUGUCUGUGGUUCUCUGGAGACUCAAAGUCACAAACAACGAACUGCUGCUUCAUUAGACUGUCAAUCAAAGGGAGCACAUCUAGUCACAGUUAAAACACAAGCAAAGCUACAGUACUUAACAGUGGUAUAUUCUCCCCUGGUUUGGGUUGGUUUACUGUAUAAUAAAACAAGCGAAGUGUACGUAUGGGAUGAAGAUGGUAGUAUCAUGACUAAUGCUACUUAUAACGAACUGUUUGGAUUUGAUUUAAUGUCUUCAGCCCCAAGUUGAUGUCUGGCUGCACACGCUUGAGGGCAUUAGGUGUGACUCGGACAAUAUCUACAUUUGUGAACAUCAGCCAUUUUGAAAUGAACCAUACGCUAGUUUAAAAUGACGUCAUCCAUUCUAAAAUAUAAGUCGAUUUAAAACUAAAUUAAUCAAUUUAAAAUGUAACAUCAGUCAAUUUAAAAUAUUAAAAUAAUCAAUAAUUUAAAAUAUAACAUCAGUUAUUUUGAAAUGUAAAAUCAGUUAAAUUAAAAAAUAACCAGUGAAUAUAAAAUGUCUUUUUAACUAGUAAAAUAAUAAAGUCAGGUCUGUCAUUUUGAAAUGUAAAAUCGAUCAAUUUAAAAUGUAACGUCAUUUUGCAAUGUAAGAUUGUCCACAUUUACAAGAAGAAACAAGAAUGUGAAUGUUGACUUUCAACUUUAUGUCUAAAAAAUAAGUUUCAUUGAAAUUUGUUUUUCACAUCUCCGCUUAAGAGAAAAAUAUAAAAAAAUUCUUUAUAAAUCUUAGGGCUGCUAGAUUUAUGGAUGUUUCUUUUUGUUUAGUGAUUUUCGAUUAUUUUGUUUGGAACCAUUUUGU